GACAACAAUAAUUAACUUCCUGCUUUAGACGUCACAUUUCCUCAAAGGCGUCUUUCUUUGUUUGAACAGGUUGCUACGGUAUAAAUGCGAGACUUUACAGGAAGAAACCGGAAUAUUCAGGCUGGAUCCGGUAUGAGGCAUACCGUACAGGCAGACUGGACUAGCUUCACUCUGAUGCAAAUCCAAACAGUUCCUCUCAUCUUCACCUUGGCUCUUCAAACCAACUACCAGUGACCGGAUGACAGGCUCCCCGAGUCAUGCAGUUUAUACAUUUUACAACACAUGUAUCAUGUAUCACGCUGACAGGUUAGCCAGCCGGAGUGACAACUCUAACUGACACAAAGCAACACAGUCAGAAUCAUCUGGCAAGAUGAUGCAUCUCCACUGGAAAGCACUCGAGUCCUCAGACGAAAUACAAGUACGCCCCCUAGUGGUUGUAAGCCACAUAGAUCUGAUGGCUCAUACUGGAUU